rnacentral:tRNA from 2 species
GUUUCUGUAGCGUAGUGGUUAUCACGUUCGCCUCACACGCGAAAGGUCCCCAGUUCGAAACUGGGCGGAAACA